GUAGUAGCCAAGUGGUAAGGCAGUGGACUCUGAAUCCAUAAUUCAUAGGUUCGAAUCCUAUCUA
rnacentral:tRNA from 1 species